rnacentral:rRNA from 1 species
AUUAGGUGAAGUCAAUGAUCCCAUGCUGCCAAGAAAAGCCUCUAGCGAGCUUCGAGCGGCCCGUACCCCAAACCGACACAGGUGGUCAGGUAGAGAAUACCGAGGCGAUCGGGCGAACUGUGGUUAAGGAACUCGGCAAAUUACCCCCGUAACUUCGGGAGAAGGGGGGCCACAGACUGUCAUACCCCACGCGGGUGGCAGCAGUAGGUGGCCGCAGAGACCAGGGGGAAGCGACUGUUUACUAAAAACACAGGUCCGUGCGAAGUCGUAAGACGAUGUAUACGGACUGACGCCUGCCCGGUGCUGGAACGUUAAGGGGACCGGUUAGUCCGCAAGGGCGAAGCUGAGAACUUAAGCGCCAGUAAACGGCGGUGGUAACUAUAACCAUCCUAAGGUAGCGAAAUUCCUUGUCGGGUAAGUUCCGACCUGCACGAAUGGCGUAACGACUUCCCUACUGUCUCAACCACAGGCCCGGCGAAAUUGCACUACGAGUAAAGAUGCUCGUUACGCGCGGAAGGACGGAAAGACCCCGGGACCUUCACUAUAGCUUGACAUUGGUAUCCGAAUUUAAUUGUGUAGGAUAGGUGGGAGGCUUUGAUCCGCGGACGCCAGUCCGUCGGGGAGCCAACGUUGAAAUACCACUCUGUUGAAUUUGGGUAUCUAACUUCGGACCGUGAUCCGGUUCAGGGACAGUGUCUGGUGGGUAGUUUAACUGGGGCGGUUGCCUCCUAAAAUGUAACGGAGGCGCCCAAAGGUUCCCUCAGCCUGGUUGGCAAUCAGGUGUUGAGUGCAAGUGCACAAGGGAGCUUGACUGUGAGACUGACAGGUCGAGCAGGGACGAAAGUCGGGACUAGUGAUCCGGCACCUGCGAGUGGAAGCGGUGUCGCUCAACGGAUAAAAGGUACCCCGGGGAUAACAGGCUGAUCUUCCCCAAGAGUCCAUAUCGACGGGAUGGUUUGGCACCUCGAUGUCGGCUCGUCGCAUCCUGGGGCUGGAGUAGGUCCCAAGGGUUGGGCUGUUCGCCCAUUAAAGCGGCACGCGAGCUGGGUUUAGAACGUCGUGAGACAGUUCGGUCCCUAUCCUCCGCGCGCGUAGGAGACUUGAGAAGAGCUGUCCCUAGUACGAGAGGACCGGGACGGACGAACCUCUGGUGUGCCAGUUGUCAUGCCAAUGGCACGGCUGGUUAGCUACGUUCGGAAGGGAUAACCGCUGAAAGCAUCUAAGCGGGAAGCUCGCUUCAAGAUGAGGUCUCCCACCCCUUCGAGGGUUAAGGCCCCCAGCUAGACCACUGGGUUGAUAGGCCAGAAGUGUAAGCCUGGUAACAGGUUCAGCCGACUGGUACUAAUAGGCCGAGGACUUCACC